UCCCAGCGACUGUGCCAAAAUUUCCUCUUCACCCCACUAUUAUGCAGUGUGGAGGUUGGCUUGCACCCUUUCCCCUGUAGCUGAAUUUCAUUUGUGCUGUAGGCACAGGACCAAAUGCUGCUUUAGCCACUGCUGGACAGGGAUUGUGUCAGACGCAUCAUUUUUUUCCGACAGCCUUCUCUGUAGGGAAGGAUUUCACCAGGCAGGUCUGAGGGAUACAUUAGGCUGCUGUACUGACAAGGAGCACUGUUGGCACUGGCAGUUACAGGUUAUAUUCUAAUCAAUUUCCGGACCUUUCCAAAGAAAGAAAGAAACAGGAUCCUGCAAGGGUCUCUUUCUGCAGUCGUCAGCAGAGCCAAUGACCAAGAGCUCCAUACCCUAGCCACAGCUUUGGACUUCUGUGCACUUCCUUUGAGCUAAUGGGCGCCAACUGGCUAACUUCUGGCUCUCCUCUGAUCUGGAAUCUUGGAGACGUCACACCUGGUCACUCUCAAGAUGCAAAGAGGUAGCACACCUGCUCAUGCUCCCACUGAAAUCAAUGGUGAUUUUUCUAUCAACGGCCCUUGAAGGUGGAUUGCACAAAGCACCGGAGGAUACACUGCGGGGAACAAUCUUGCAUUGGCAAAAAGGGAAUGGACUAUCAGAAACCAGGAAGUGCAGAUACCGGUAGAAGUUAGAAAUUAAGUUAAUGAAAUUAGAAUGAAUGAAGAAACAAAACUGAACAUAUGUAAACUUUGAGAGUGAUGUGGUUGGGGGCCAAAUCUGGAUCUGAAUUUGUCACUGGCCCCAAAAGAACUGAUUUCAACACUCCUUCAAGUUAAGUUGUUUUCAACAAUCCUGUUUAUCAUUAAUAAAAUGUAGUAACUAAAAUACAGAUGUGAAUUUUGCUGUUUGGGCCCAUCUCUGGUAAGCAACAAGAAGAAAUGAGGAAAUGAUUUCAAACCCCAAUGAAAGAAUUUGCUUUGGUUCAUUUUAAUUUUUGGCUGAAGGUUCAAGUCAGUUUUUAUUUUCCCUGAAUCAGUUUCCUCAUCUCAGGGCCUGUUCCUGUUCCCAUGGAAAUUACUGGUAAAACUCCUAUUGACUUUAAUGGUGCAGGAUCAAAACCCUAAUGAGGGAGGUAUUAUGAGGUGCAGAAUAAAAUAAGUAUGUGUUUGUAGGGAUUUGUCACCACUGUGGUUCCAUGGAAAGUGGAAGGAAACUUCAGUUAGAACCUAAGGUAGUAGGGAUCCAAACAUAUGACCUAAUAGUUGGGUUAGAAGGCUAUGCUUGUUCUGACAAUGAAAUAAAGGUUCUUGGAUAGAUUUAUUAGUGCUGACAAACAUGAAGUAUUGCCUGUUGUCAGCUAACUGAGAGUAAUUUACCAUUAAUUACUUGAUUUUUAAAGGAAACUUAACUUGUAUCCCCUUUUUGUCCAAGCAAUUAACUGUUGGUGCAAAUGGUGUUAUGUGCAAUAGGCACCUAUGCCUAGCUCCACAGAGGGAUUUAGAUGACUAAGUCUCAGUUUUAGGCACCGUUGCGAUCCACAACCCCCCUGCUUGGCUGCUGCCUAACUCUGUAGGUGCAUCAAUUCACUCGGCACCUAAACUUUCACCAUUAAGUUCCUGCCCCUGAGCAUGCACACUGCUGCCUCACUCUGGGCAUCUGGAUGCUUAGUUCCAGCCUAAGCCCCAGCGUGAUCCACAGACCAGCCCAGGGGCUGGAGCACUCACCUGUGAUGUCAGAGACCCCAGUUCAAUUCCCCUGUCUGCAGGAGUAGGAGUGAGGAUUUGAACAAGGAUCUCCCAUCUCUCAGGUGCCUAUGUUGAUUUGUGGAUCUGGGCCCUGCCUACCUGAUUUGUGGGCAAAAGCAGACAGACAGGCAUCACUAGGCCUUUCUUUGCUCCCACAAAAUUGCACCUGCAUUUAUUUGUGGUUGCUGAUUUUUAUGCAAAGAGAGAGAGGCAUGGAUUUAAAAAUCAGACCUUCAAACGAGAAUUCCAGGAAGAAAGGCAAAGGAGGGAGCUCUAUUUCUGAUGCCACAUCUCCACUGCACUGGGCCCACCAGAGGGUCCAGGACACCAUUCUUCUUCUCAUUGCAAAACUCUCAGAAGACUGAGGAAUCCAGACUGGCGGGAUAGAUGGAGUGUCGUCAUGUUUUUUCUUCUUGCUAAAAAGUUCCCUCAGAAAAGUUCCACCUUAGCAGGAUGUGGGGAAAACGUCACUGAUCAUAAUGAUAAGAAGCUAUUCAAACUGCUGAAGCACAACUUUGAAGGUCAAAAUGAAUUGUGUGAUUUAUGAGAAAUAAACACCUACCAUAAAGAGGCUAUAGAAUAAAGGGCGUGUGACUGAAUUAAGUUUAAGUAUCUCUGGAGUCCAUUGUAUUAAAUGCAAAGGUUAUGUAUUAUUGUGGGACUGGAUGAUGAAAGGACUGUACUGAAUAAUGGGCAGACAAGAAUGGUCUUUUGGGACAAUACAUGUGAAGUGGAUUUCCUGGGAAAUACCUAGGGGGACUUGAAUGCAAAUCCUCCUCUCUCACUCGCCACCCUCUUAUUAUGCAAAAGCCCAGCCUUUUGAAACUAUGCCCUGAGGAAGGGACCAUUGCCUAUGGAUUACCUGUUCCUGGAGUCUCAAGAUCAAAGGCUUCGGCUGUAUAAAGGAAAGACUACCCUAUGCAGGGGAGCUCAUUCUGAGCUGAGGCUGUUCUGAACUCGUAACCACAGAAAAACCCAUUGGUGGGGUUUGAAGGACUUAUGCCUACCAGA